CCUACGGGAGGCAGCAGUGGGGAAUAUUGGGCAAUGGGCGCAAGCCUGACCCAGCAACGCCGCGUGAAGGAAGAAGGCUUUCGGGUUGGAAACUUCUUUUCUCAGGGGCGCAGAAAGUGACGGUACCUGAGGAAUAAGCCACGGCUAACAACGUGCCAGCAGCCGCGGUAAUCCGGAGGCGGCAGGCGUUAUCCGGAUUUGUUGGGUGUAAAGGGCGUGUAGGCGGGAGCGGAAGUCAGAUGUGAAAACUCAGGGCUCAACCCUGAGCCUGCAUUUGAAACUGUGUUUCUUGAGUGCUGGAGAGGCAAUCGGAAUGCGGGGUGUAGCGGUGAAAUGCGUAGAUAUACGGAGGAACACCAGUGGCGAAGGCGGAGUGCCGGACAGUAACUGACGCUGAGGCGCGAAAGCGUGGGGAGCAAACAGGAUUAGAUACCCCAGUAGUC
rnacentral:rRNA from 1 species